UACGGAGGAUGCAAGCGUUAUCCGGAAUGAUUGGGCGUAAAGCGUCCGCAGGUGGCUAUGUAAGUCUGCUGUUAAAGAAUGAGGCUUAACCUCAUCAAGGCAGUGGAAACUACAUAGCUAGAGUACGGUCGGGGUAGAAGGAAUUCCUGGUGUAGCGGUGAAAUGCGUAGAGAUCAGGAAGAACACCGGUGGCGAAAGCGUUCUGCUAGACCUGUACUGACGCUGAGGCACGAAAGCGUGGGGAGCAAACAGG
rnacentral:rRNA from 1 species